CCAUUUAGUGCUGCAUCAAACCUUGGGCAGUCCCUUUAUAUCCUUAGCCGAAAGUCUUACGUGACCAGGAUGUGGAGGCUCCUGGACACAUAGUGCCGCCUGUACCAACUUGGUGGGUGCCAUAUUGAAUUGACUGCAUCUGUCACCCACCGUGUGUCAUGUUGCAUUGUAUGGCAGCUUAUAAUCAGUGCUGACAUGAAGUAGCAGGCUACUCUCACACCUCUGAAAGCAGAUUCAGAACGAAACCAGAUGGCUCCUUGUCUGCUGUGUGAUCAAUUCAGAUUUCCAAUCUUCAGUGAAGAGGAGCCAGUGGACUUCAGCGGAAGUUUGCAGACAUAAUAACCAUUUAAAAGGAAGCAGAAUGAACAGCUGCUGCUAAAUAAGGCUACAAGGUAGCCAGACUCCUUCUGCAUCGCAUUAAAUUUGAAGCUAGGAGCUACCCCAAGGAAUAUAACAGCACACAAGUCCAGGUUAUAUAAUGAUAAAGUAGCAUUGUUUGUUUAAGCCUAAGUUAUUAAAGAUCCAU